rnacentral:rRNA from 1 species
GACAGAGGGUGCAAACGUUGCUCGGAAUUACUGGGCGUAAAGCGCGUGUAGGUGGAUUGGUGUGUCAGAUGUGAAAUCCCUGGGCUCAACCCAGGAACUGCACCUGAAACUACCAGUCUUGAGUGGUGGAGAGGGAAGUGGAAUUCCUGGUGUAGAGGUGAAAUUCGUAGAUAUCCGGAGGAACACCAGUGGCGAAAGCGGCCACCUGGACUGCACCUGACGCUGACACGCGAAAGCUAGGGGAGCGAACGGG